rnacentral:lncRNA from 1 species
GCCCUUUUGUUUUGUGAUUCUUUGCUUACUUCUUGAUUUUGAUUGUGACUGUCUUUCAGUGUUUAUAAAAAUAAUACGCAUUAGGAGCACCUGAAUUCACUCCCGGUUUUUAAUGGAGUUCGUGUUGUUUUUAUAUAUGUAUUUUUCAAUGUGUUGUUGUAAAUGCCCUUUCGUUUUGUGAUUCUUUGCUUACUUCUUGAUUUUGAUUGUGACUGUCUUUCAGUGUUUAUAAAAAUAAUACGCACUCGACAUCAGGGAGAUUCACACUGUGGUUCGAGGCUGAUAUUUUACAGUAUCAAUGUGUAUAAUAGCGCAUAAUUUAUAUAUAUAUCAAACAAGAUUAGAAUCUUCAAUACUGUUCAUUUUUUGGUAUUUUGCUAUUGCUUAAAAUAUGUUGUAAUUAAUGCAGUCAUAUGUUACUAUGUUAGGCAAUGCAUUAUAAUCAACACAAAACAAUGUCUCGAUUACCUUAUUUUUAAUCAUAACUGGAAUUUCUUUUAUUUAUCAUAACCAUUUUUUAAUAUAUAAUAAAACAUUCAAUGUCAUACCAACAUGUGAAGUUUGUGGCAAAAAUCUCUGUCAUUUUCAUGCCCCUUGGUUAUUUUAUGACCCUUUAAAGCUCAUAAAUAAAACAAUCAAAGAAACAAUUAAUUUUGCAUGUAUCAUGUUUCAUUGCUCUCCCCCUAUGCCAUCUUUUCUUUGGAAUGCUUUGUUGAAUGUCAGUUUCCUGGCUCUUUUCCUCAAUUCAGUCCCGGAUAUGAUGUGUCUUUUUACAUGUACAGUGGUAAUUCAAGAGGACACUUUAGUUCUAAUAUGAGCUCAUUAUAAGCAUCCACCUUUAAUGUUUUGGUACUUGUACGAAACUCAGGAUUCAAUGGUUCAUGAUUAAAUGUUGGGUUUUUUUUCUGAUGAGUGCCAUAUUGUCUAGAUACAUCAUUUUGUUUAUAGGUCUUCAAUUUUCACAUCGAACAUUCCCAUGUCUGCUCCUGUCUCCAUUGCUGUUAAUCAUUCUGA